rnacentral:pre_miRNA from 1 species
AUGACCUGGGGAUCUUGUCAAAAUGUAGAUUCUGAUCCAGGAGGUCUGGGAUGAGGCAUGAGACUCUGCAUUUCUAACAAGCUCCCAGGUUGUGCUGC